GGGGGGGGGGGGGUCUAUAGUGUUUCGGCGUAUCCAACUCUUCAUGUCUAGGGGUCUUUCCGGUUAUGAAAUAUGUGUAGUCUAUGGUUAUUAUUUUAGGUUGUCUAAGGUUGAAGAAGAGUUGUAAUUCAAUGCUAAGGAACAAAUAGUUACAUAAUUCAAUGGCUUCUCAGAAAACUAAGAGCAGUUGAAUAAGAUUUUUUAAAAAAAGUGAAACGAAUAGCAAGGGGGGUUAAUAUUGAAUGGUUUAAAGGAGAAGUUGGUUUCUUAAAAAGGAGUGCCAUGUACCGUUUCAAGUUGGUUUCUUGAACGGGGGAUAACAUGGAUGUGC
rnacentral:lncRNA from 1 species